UACAGAGGUCUCAAGCGUUGUUCGGAUUCAUUGGGCGUAAAGAGCGUGUAGGCGGCCCGGUAAGUCCGCUGUGAAAGUCCAGGGCUCAACCCUGGGAUGCCGGUGGAUACUGUCGGGCUCGAGUCCGGAAGAGGAGUGUGGAAUUCCUGGUGUAGCGGUGAAAUGCGCAGAUAUCAGGAAGAACACCCGUGGCGAAGGCGGCUCUCUGGGACGGUACUGACGCUGAGACGCGAAGGCGUGGGGAGCGAACAGG
rnacentral:rRNA from 1 species